UACAGAGGGUGCAAGCGUUGUUCGGAAUUACUGGGCGUAAAGCGUGCGUAGUCGGUAUUGAGAGUCGCGGGUGAAAUCCCAGGGCUUAACCCUGGAACUGCCUGCGAGACCUCAGUACUAGAGUGUGAGAGGGGAUAGUGGAAUACCCAGUGUAGCGGUGAAAUGCGUAGAGAUUGGGUGGAACACCGGUGGCGAAGGCGGCUAUCUGGCUCACAACUGACGAUCAGGCACGAAAGCGUGGGGAGCAAACGGG
rnacentral:rRNA from 1 species